CCAGUCGGUUAGACGGCUGCGAGCAGUAAUGCUUGAGGAAAGUCCGGGCACCAUAGGGCAGGAUAACGGCUAACGGCCGCCGAGGGUGACCUUAGGGAUAGUGCAACAGAGAUAUACCGCCUGAUUUUUUCAGGUAAGGGUGGAAAGGCGAGGUAAGAGCUCACCACGCGAACGGAGACGUCUCGCGUCUGUAAACCCUAUCCGGUGCAACGCUGAAUGAAACGAUACAUUUGCCCGAUGUGUUUCGACGAGCGGCUUGAGCCGAUAGGCAACUAUCGGUCGAGAUAGAUAGUCGUCCACGACAGAACCCGGCUUACAGACCGAGUGGAAUG
rnacentral:RNase_P_RNA from 1 species